rnacentral:rRNA from 1 species
GACGAACGCUGGCGGCGUGCCUAAUACAUGCAAGUAGAACGCACAGUUUAUACCGUAGCUUGCUACACCAUAAACUGUGAGUUGCGAACGGGUGAGUAACGCGUAGGUAACCUGCCUGGUAGCGGGGGAUAACUAUUGGAAACGAUAGCUAAUACCGCAUAAUAUUGAUUAUUGCAUGAUAAUUGAUUGAAAGAUGCUAUUGCAUCACUACCAGAUGGACCUGCGUUGUAUUAGCUAGUAGGUGAGGUAACGGCUCACCUAGGCGACGAUACAUAGCCGACCUGAGAGGGUGAUCGGCCACACUGGGACUGAGACACGGCCCAGACCCCUACGGGAGGCAGCAGGAGGGAAUCUUCGGCAAUGGACGAAAGUCUGACCGAGCAACGCCGCGGGAGUGAAGAAGGGUUUCGGAUCGUAAAGGUCUGUUGUAAGAGAAGAACGGGUGUGAGAGUGGAAAGUUCACACUGUGACGGUAUCUUAACAGAAAGAGACGGCUAACUACGUG